GACGAACGCUGGCGGCGUGCCUAAUACAUGCAAGUAGAACGCUGAAGAGAGGAGCUUGCUCUUCUUGGAUGAGUUGCGAACGGGUGAGUAACGCGUAGGUAACCUGCCUUGUAGCGGGGGAUAACUAUUGGAAACGAUAGCUAAUACCGCAUAACAAUGGAUGACACAUGUCAUUUAUUUGAAAGGGGCAAUUGCUCCACUACAAGAUGGACCUGCGUUGUAUUAGCUAGUAGGUGAGGUAACGGCUCACCUAGGCGACGAUACAUAGCCGACCUGAGAGGGUGAUCGGCCACACUGGGACUGAGACACGGCCCAGGAUUCUACGGGAGGCCGCAGGAGGGAAUCUUCGGCAAUGGGGGCAACCCUGACCGAACAACGCCGCGUGAGUGAAGAAGGUUUUCGGAUCGUAAAGCUCUGUUGUAAGUCAAGAACGAGUGUGAGAGUGGAAAGUUCACACUGUGACGGUAGCUUACCAGAAAGGGACGGCUAACUACGUG
rnacentral:rRNA from 1 species